GCGGCGGCGGCGCGCUGAUGUCAGCGCGCCCCUUAAGGUGGACCGGGCGCCGGGGGCCGCGGUGGGACGGGCCGAGGCGUGGCGAGUCCACGGGGCCCGGGGCCCGCCCACCGGCUCGCGGGACCCUCGGAGGGGGCGGGGCCCCGCAGCCUCGGAGACCCCCGGCCGGCGGGCGUCCGCGGCUCUCGGGGGCCGCGCACCCACGCACCCCUGCGGCCCGGCCGGCCUGUGGGCACCGCGAUGAAGGUCAGGCCCCCCUAGUCCCAGGCCGCGGAGGCGCGCAGGUGGCCUCGGGGGCGUCUGUGGGCGCAGUCCUCCGUCUAACGACCCCGCUCGUCUGGAGCCCCCCGGCAUUCACGAAGGGGCGCGGGUGUGACGCCGCGGCGCUGCCGUGGCUGCCUGCCCCUGACCGCAUCGCAGCCCUCCCGCGGACCACUGGGCUGGAGGAGCCCGGCCAGCGGGCACCCGGCCCUCCGCGUCCUGGCCUGAGCUACAGCCUCGAGAGAGGGUCGCCUGGAGCCCCCAUCGUCCCCAAGGCGGGGCCCCUUGGGAAGCCCGGCGCCCCGGCCCUGCCCAAUAGGCCCGGCGCGCCCCCUGCUGCAGGAAAUCCCACCCGCCCCGCCGCCGCUUAAGGGUGCCAGGACUAUCACCUUCCUCCACCAGCUGAACCCUGGAGACAACUGCCAAAUGCUGACCGUGGGAAGCGGAAUCAGGCCUACUUGAGGUGUCCCGAGUGGUGCAGACCCACUGCUGGAGACAGAACCGAGGGAGGCUGGCACUGGCCUCCCCCACCCACAUGGCUGCCAAGCCCAUGGCCCAGCUUCCUCCCCAAGAAGAGCUAAGACCCCAGGGAAAAGGAAAAUGAAGCAAACAGCAGGAGGCUCCCCAGCCUGCAGCCCAGUGGACAGACCCGGGACGGAAGGCUGAACCGCACUGCAUGGCUCACACAAUCAAUCCCCAGCACCCGCAGGACCCCAUUCCGCUCACCACUGCCUGCCAAAGAGGGCCCACUGGAAACACACCGGGCUGGGGGGCUGGCCCAAGCGCCCACAUGGACGUCCUUGGGUAGCCUACCCUGUGGUCCCGUGGGGCCGUAUGGGGAUGCGUUCUCUCCUCCAGCACAGCUCCCUUCCGCAGCACAGCACAUCCUGCCGUGUCCACAUGCUUCUUCAACCACGCCCUGCAACACAGCCCCAGCACUGGAUGGCGCUGUCUCCCAGCCUUUCCAAGGAGCCUUCCCACUGUCGGGGACUCUCCCUUGGAGACAUUUCUCCCAUCCCCAGAGGAAGGCAGUCAGCAUGGGAUUUUACUGGAACCCCAAAUCAAAGACAGAAUACUAACCAUCCUUUCUGUGCUGGGGGGGGUCUGUCCCAGCCAAGGGCUUCCCUCCCGGAAGCUCCAGCCCAUGCAUGGGGCCCUCCCUUUCAGACACCAAAACCCCCAACUGACACAGGGACCUGCCAGCCUGUGGCCCCACGGGUCACCGGGAGUGCAGCACAGCAAGCUGCCACCUGCAGUGGACGGCGCCACCCUCCCAACACAAGCUUGCUCAGCACGGAACAGGCUUCACCUCUUCUUGGGUGCAAAGGGCACCACUGUCCCCCAGCCAACCUGGGGAGGCAAGCAGUCCAUGAGCACGAUGAGGGCCGGGGCUCACAGGACAGUCAAGAUGCCAGUGAGACAUCCUCAGUGGGCUUUUUAAACCAAAAGCAAAGACCAUACUUUCAGGGAUCAUUUCCAUAGUUCAUUACUAAGUUUAUCUGAACAUAUAGGGCACUGGAAAGCACAGGGGCUGGCACAGCCUUCUCUCCUGAGCUGCUCAGAGUUAUGUUGCAACCCCCAGGUGCCACUGAUGAUUGUUCUCUUCCUUCAGGAGGGAGAGACCACAGACCCUCUCUAUAAACGGGAACCAUUAAGUGGUUCCCAUGUAUGUAAAAAUAAACCAACCUGAGUGCA